rnacentral:rRNA from 1 species
UACGUAGGGACCAAGCGUUGUUCGGAUUUACUGGGCGUAAAGGGCGCGUAGGCGGCAAUUCAAGUCAUCUGUGAAAUCUCCGGGCUUAACUCGGAACGGUCAGAUGAUACUGCUCUGCUAGAGUGCGGAAGGGGCAAUCGGAAUUCUUGGUGUAGCGGUGAAAUGCGUAGAUAUCAAGAGGAACACCUGAGGUGAAGACGGGUUGCUGGGCCGACACUGACGCUGACAGCGCGAAAGCCAGGGGAGCAAACGGG